UUCAAGAUGUUGAGUAUUGAUUACUAAUCAACUACUAGCCUGGAAGAUAAAAGCCAAAGCUGUAAACAGACAGGUCAGCUUAACAAGUGCACAUUCUCUGCUGCCAACAGUACCAAUUUGUCAUCCAAGCAACAAAUAUUCCUUGGUAAUCUGCUAUCAGAUGACAGUUAUCUCUUUGGCAUUUUUAUGAAUUAAAGCUUUCAAAGCCAAAGUAAGACUUAAUUUUUUCUUUUCUUUAACUGCUAAUUCUAAAAUAAUUUAUCAUUGCAUGUUAAAAAUAACUUGUUAUACAUUUUUCUGUGUUUUUGGUCAAGCUUCAGAUUUGCUUAGCAUAUUCCUGUACUACAUAUCAACAAAUGUUUGAUGGUUUGUCUGGUUCAUCUCUUAACACUAUGAAGAUGGCUACACUAAUCUUAACAAGCAAACAUUCUGUUGCCAACAGUACCAAUUUGUCAUCCUAUCCAAGCAACUACUAUUUCUUGGUAAUCUGCUAUCAGAUGAUUACAGUUUUCUCUUUGGCAUUUGUAUGAAUUAAAGCUUUCAAAGCCAAACCUUAGAUUUGGUUAGCAUAACCCUGAACUGCAUAUCAACAAAUGUCUAAUGGUCUGUCUGGUUCAUUUCUCAAGACUAUGAAGAUGGCUACACAGGUAUCAGCAGUGCACACCUAUGAUACACAAGUCUUCAUUGCCAAGUCAUUCUGCCAAACAGUGUGUACACCUUUCUUGCAUUGGUAGUGACCCACUUUACUGUCAUGAGUCUGGAUAUGUCAGGCCAAGGAGAUCAAGUUUGUGUCCAAGGUUACUUAGUUAAUUCUCUAAGAACAAUAGACAGACUCUACAUGCUACUGAUCUGGAGGUUAGUGGCUCAAUCAUUGUGCACUGAUUCUUCACUGAUGCCUUGAUUCCCCACUGUCAACUUUAUUGUCAUAAAGUUUAUCUAGUGAUCUACAUAUCAAGACUAAAUGGUCAAUUAAACAUGAGGUCAAGGAAAAAGGAUGAACAUUUCAAGGCUACAGAAGGAACAUUAAACGUCUCUCUCACUGUGAAAAGAUUCUACCCAUCUACAAAUGAUCAACAUGUUUUAUCUUAAGUUCGUCUGCCAUUUCUUCAAAUGGAGCCAUAUUAAGAAUAAGGUUCAAAUGUAUCAGUUGUUUUUGUUGACAGAUAUCAAGUCAUUUCAGUUCUCAAUUAUUUUGUGCACCAAGUUACAAGAAAAAAUUUAAGCAAGAGAGGUCACUACACUAAGACUUUGUCUUCUCAUAAGAAAGGAUGGCUGCCUGGUCAUGUGAUAUGUGCACUGGACUGUGUAUGGUCAUCUUGAUGCUCAUAUCUUGCCUGAUGACAUUUAUUCUGCUGAACAUUUGGUCAAGGAAGUAGAUUCUCUUCAGCUCUCAAGAAACAUUCAAAACAUGUCAAACAUUCGACAAGAAUAUCAAGUGCAAUGUACAUACCAACAUGAUGAAAAGGUAGACAACAUGAAGAUGUAGACCAACAUGAUGAAGAUGUAGACCAACAUGAAGAGGUAGACCAGCAUGAUGAAGAUGUAGACCAACAUGAUGAAGAUGUAGACCAACAUGAUGAAGAUGUAGACCAACAUGAAGAUGAAAUGUAAACCAAAAAAUGGGUCAAGAGAUGUAUGGAAUACAAUGUGAACAUCUUGAGAAGUAAAACAAUUCCUAGAGGCAAAGACACAGACACACCGGAUCUAUUAGAGAUUUUCCUUUUCUACCAUCAUUUAGAGACUUCCUUGUGCUCUAAGGGAAUAUGUCAUUAUCUUUUGAUUGCUAAUUGGCAUUGAUGUUUUUACAUUCCUACUGCGUCUGAAAGAAAUUAACAUUUCCCUAAUGCUACUUCAAAACCAGACCUUCUCAAGACAAUUUUAGUGACCAAGCUGCAAUAUGGGACUCAGUAGGAAACAAUGAAGAAUGCUCCUAACCUCAGGUUGAGUAACCAUGCUCACCUACUAGAGUGGCGACAAAUACUUCUACACCCACAGUUUUACAUCCUGAACCCUGUAACCCAACCUCACAACAUGGUUACAUUACCGGAAGUGGUCGCAAGGUCAGAAAACCUAACAGAUACAAUGGAUAGAACAAUGAACAGGUACAAGUACUCAAGUGAUGUACUUUGUGAGAACUAUUUAGGUGGAAUCACCAUAAUUGACUUGUAUAAAUCUUGUUCUAUAUUUAGGUAUAUCUUGACAAUCAGUCCAGUCAUUUGUUCAUUUUUUUUUUAAAUAUUCCUUUUUUUCCCCUCAAUCUUCUUGUUGUUUCAGUUACAUGUUUUUGUAUUUUGAAGGAGGAAGGUGCUUUGGUAUAUUAUCCUUAUUAUUAUUGUACCAGUAUUAAGCAAACUUGUAUAUCUUUAAUUAUUCAUGAAUUCUAAAGCAGAACGUCACUUCCACCGGAAAAUGUUGUAACAACUAUACGUGUCUUCAGUUAACAUUCAAUACUCUGUACAGUCACAAUGCCAAAGCCUUGCUAGAUUAUGCUUUUAAUUCAAUUUGUUAUCUCCCCUGCUUUAGUGUGCUAUCAUAUAAUUUUUUGUGUCACAUCCCUGCACAAUUUGUUCUAGCUUUUUUACAGUAUAAAUAGCGACUUGACAUUAUUUAGCUCUAUUAUAAUAUUGUUAUAUUAUUAUAUUUAAAAUAAAACUGUUAACAUAUUCUAUGCUGUUAUAAUAUAAAUGUUUUGCUGUUACCAUGAAUACAGUUUUGAGUUUUUGUCUGAUAUCUUAGAGGAGAAAUUUUUCAUAAAUAAUAAUAAUAAGGCUUAUCUUCAAGUCCGAAGAUUAGUGAGAAGUAUGCAGUAUUCCCCAGCUAGGACCUACAUAUUUUGCUAUAAAUAAAGAGUAUAAUAAUAUUUACUACUUGGUAUUGUCAGUCUUCACUAAAGCAAUGAGUUUAUCCCCUUAGUGUGUUUAAAAUUUUCAAAUACUAAUUCACUUUGUAUUAUCUAUUGGUGAUCAUGGGGUAUCCACUUUGUCAUCUCCAUUGUCUCUGGUGUUAACACUCAGUGUCCUGUUGGAGGUUACGGCUAAGAUGUUAUCUCUCUUUCUGAUGGAACACAUGUAAAACCAACAAAACAAACAUUAGACCUAGACUUUAUUAACAGGUAAAUUUUUAUAAUUGUGAACUGGCGCUCCCAAAGCUACUUUUAUGUAUUUUAAAUUUUACUUCUGUAGGCUAGUGCUAAGCUGUAUACUUGUAUUUCUGCCUAUUAUAUGGGUUAGGGUGGAGUACUUAAAAUAGAGCCUAUGCUGUUUCCUGUACUGUUGACCAGUGGUCUCUGUGUCAGUUUUAAUUAUUCUGUACCUGGGACUGCCUGUAAGUUUCAGAAUUUUUAUUUUAUUUUUUAAAAUUUUACUAUGUGUAAAUCUGUUUUAUAUUUGAACAACUGUCAAAAUAACUAGCAGUUUUUUUUUUCUAAAGUUUGUUUUAAAAAUAUGGCCAAGCCCUGCCCAGUGCUGUCAUGAUGGCCACUUCUAGUGUUUAUGUACUAGAUUGUAACUGCUGCCUUAGUCAUUGAAAUUAAAGUCUCAUUUUUGAAUUUC